rnacentral:tRNA from 1 species
GUUUUUGUAGUUUAUAAAGAAUUUAACAUUGAAGCCGUUAAGGAGGAGUUUUCUCCCGAAAACA